AUUGCUUCUCAGCCUUUUGGCUAAGAUCAAGUGUAUAUCUGUUCUUUUCUUUUUUUUGAGACAGUCUCACUCUGUCACCCUGGGUUGAGUGUCAACGUGGUGUCAUAACUCACAGAAACCUCAAACUCUU
rnacentral:snRNA from 1 species